UAUGAUCGCACGCUUUGUAACCCCGAAGCGGAACAAAGAGCACCAUAAUGGAUUCCCGCCUUGGCUAACGACACACAAAGAUGUGCAGUGUGGGGCCUUUUUGGCGUAGCAUCUUCUGUUGUCUUCUGUUGUGUUAUGGAGGACGAUGCACACCAGUGAGCAAUCUCGUGAAAGCGAAUGGUGGCAAUGCCAACCGUACGGGGCUACUACAUGGUAGCUCGGGUGAUAAAGGGAGACGGUUACUACCAGAGAUACUUGAAGACAAGACAGACAACAUUACGGAACAGAAGUCUUUUGUUUCACUGUCCUCCGGGGAUCGAAAAGGUUGUCAGUUCCCGCGGCCUACUGUUCACUGGCACGCAGAAGGACUGGCUGGGAAGAUCUCAAAAGCAAGUACAUCGGGUCAUGAGUUUAUCUACAGCGGCGAGUUCCCAAUUGGAGGAUACACGACUUGUCUUUCGCUGGAAGUGAAAAAUAUCGAUGGCCACCUGUGGCUGGGUGUCUUUUUCCGUCUCUGUGUCGGACCCAAAGAUGAAUUGUUACAGUGGCCUUUCAGAACGCCCUAUACUUUGUCUAUUCACCAUCCGAUGUACAAACAAAAGGAUAUAUCCCGUGCUCUACCGGGACUCACGAAUGAGAACAUGGAGCUCUUCAAGAGGCCACGAUGGAAAUGCAAUAAAGGAUGGGGAUAUGGGAAGUUCAUUCGCGUGACAGAUGUCAAAAAAGAAGGGUACAUGUUUGAUGAUGCAAUCUCUGUAUCAGUGACGCUGCUAACGGAGCAGUAAUGUUUGUACCGUUUUAUGUCGGGCUUAUUUGCUUUGUGUUCGAAAAGACGUGUCGUUACAAAUGGACAUUCUACAACUCAAACGACUGACAACAGUGUUGGGUCGAGUGCGUUUUAGAUAUGCAUAUACAGUUCGUUAUUUACGUCCUUCUCUAGUACACCGAUUUCGACUCACGGCUGCCACGUAACGAAAAACCAGAUGCAGUGCGUAGACAUCGCUGUAUUGUGAGACGAACGAACUGUCGCCAACAUUGUAUUGUUGUAUCAACACAGCUGUGCAUUAACACGUAGUAGAUUGUCGUAACUUCAAUGGUAAAAAUCUGUGUGUGUGUGUGACUACAGUCGAGAUCACCACUGCGACCCCAUCAACGUCACCGCCAGUUGCGCCGUGUAACCUCCUGCGUCCCGCCACGUGGAACAGAUCACCAUCAAGACUUCGAGGUUCAUCGUUUAGCAAAACGCAAAACAAGGAAAGAGAGAGUGAAAGAAAGGAACUGUAAAUCACAUCCUCCAAAAGGGAAAACGAAACUCAAGACCAGAAUUAACCGUUAUUUUUAGCUGGAACUGAAUCGUAAUCACUAGCACCAUCUCGGUGCUGAACUGGAACCGAGUGUAUCUAAAAACUUCGAUUACUGGUUCAGAAUACCGGUUCGGUUCGGGUUGGUGUGUGCCGCCUGUUGUCUAUCCUAUCGUCUGGUGGCGACGUCCGUGUUAUGUGUCAUAAUACUCAGGACCGGGAUUCGGUAGCGCAGGACAUACAAGGCCAAGGGUGAAGGAAGUUGUCCUCCCCCCGCCACUUAUAGAAGAAACAUGUUUUGUCAUUCCCUCGAAAGUAUUGCAGCAGGAGUGCAUUGCAACAACAUCACGUGAAACAUUAAAAACGUAGCCAAAGAACCUCAUUGUUCAAUAAGGCCGCACUGCUCUGCUGCUGCAAGUGUGUCGCGACUCGCCUGUCACAACAGUUCAGUCAUUCUAUUUGCAACUUGGAAGGGCUCCGGCGCCAGCAGCGGCAGCUGCGGCUUGGCGUACUUUUAUUCGUCUCGAGAUCGAACAGCGUCGCCACCAUGCGGCAGCUCCGUGAACUGCCCUCAGUGGGGAUUCGCGGCUUGAGCCGGUGCUUUCGCUGUGGUCAUCGUGCUCGAAAACAUGCCUGGAAGGUUUAGUUUCUGCACACUUGAGCUUUUAAAAUCGCUUCAAGAUGAGUGAAAAUGACUUAGUGAAUAACUUUUUUGAACUUGUCUAGCUCCCUGCACCAGACUGCUUAGCAGGGAAGAAAACCACAGAACCUUCAUAUGUUCAAGUAUGCGGAUCCCAAUCGGUCUUUGUUAUAUUAUAUUUGUCACUGCGGUUCUGUGUGUCAAACAAAACGUACCGAGAGCUGAGGUCAAUGUUGUAACAGUUCUUUUUUAAUCAUAAGUAUAACGAUGUCACGGUUAUUUGUAGAAUGGUUUCUCUGACGACCGUUCGAGGUUAUUUCAGAAUGUCCAAUUAUGGUAUUCUACGCGCGCUGGACACAAGGUUCAUUUGAUGUAUGAAUAUAUGUAUGACAUGGAAGUUUUAAACUGUGUGAAUUUCAA